ACGCACGCUGGCGGCGUGCUUCACACAUGCAAAUCGCACGGAAAGGCCCUGCUUUUGUGGGGUGCUCGAGUGGCGAACGGGUGAGUAACACGUGAGUAACCUGCCCUUGACUUUGGGAUAACUUCAGGAAACUGGGGCUAAUACCGGAUAGGAGCUCCUGCUGCAUGGUGGGGGUUGGAAAGUUUCGGCGGUUGGGGAUGGACUCGCGGCUUAUCAGCUUGUUGGUGGGGUAGUGGCUUACCAAGGCUUUGACGGGUAGCCGGCCUGAGAGGGUGACCGGCCACAUUGGGACUGAGAUACGGCCCAGACUCCUACGGGAGGCAGCAGUGGGGAAUAUUGCACAAUGGGCGGAAGCCUGAUGCAGCAACGCCGCGUGCGGGAUGACGGCCUUCGGGUUGUAAACCGCUUUCGCCUGUGACGAAGCGUGAGUGACGGUAAUGGGUAAAGAAGCACCGGCUAACUACGUG
rnacentral:rRNA from 1 species